rnacentral:rRNA from 1 species
UACGAAGGACCCGAGCGUUAUCCGGAUUUAUUGGGUUUAAAGCGUGCGCAGGCGGUUCGCCAAGUCAGGUGUGAAAUCCCCGGGCUUAACCUGGGAAUUGCGCUUGAAACUAGCGGGCUUGAGUGUGGCAGAGGGGGGUGGAAUUCCACGUGUAGCAGUGAAAUGCGUAGAGAUGUGGAGGAACACCGAUGGCGAAGGCAGCCCCCUGGGUCAACACUGACGCUCAUGCACGAAAGCGUGGGGAGCAAACAGG